rnacentral:rRNA from 1 species
GACCACAGGGCGGCUGCCUAUAAUGCAAGUCGAGCGGACAGAUGGGAGCUUGCUCCCUGAAGUCAGCGGCGGACGGGUGAGUAACACGUGGGCAACCUGCCUGUAAGACUGGGAUAACUCCGGGAAACCGGGGCUAAUACCGGAUAAUUCUUUCCCUCACAUGAGGGAAAGCUGAUUGAUGGUUUCGGCUAUCAAAUACAGAUGGACCCACGGCGCGAGCGCCCGACGGUGAGGAAACGGCUCCCCAGGGCCUCUUUGCGUAGCCGACCUGAGCGGGUGAUCCUACGCCUUGGAACUACUCUAUGACCCACACUCCUUUAGAAGGGAAUAGUACUGAUGCUUCGGAAUGUUUGAAACUCCUACAAGCGAAUCUGGCAUGAUUGGUCUCUUUAUUUUAAAGGGCACGUCGGCUGGCUGAAUAAAGACCGUUUUACGACAACCGGCGUCGUCAGAUAUACCGAGCUUGCAUUAUCUUUUGUGGGGAAAUACCUUUUUGUGUGAAACCCUUGCUUGAAUUCUUUCUAGUCGAUACGCAGUACCAUCGGUUAUUUUUUGGCCCGAAUUUUAGUACGAUUAACCUCCUUGGUCAACUCUAACUUAUUUAGGGUAUUGCCGGCUUGAGCCAUCGACUAAAUUUUAGCCUCAAGACCGAAACGUAAAGCCUUCCCCCCGAAAAAACCGGUAGAGAUCACGAAUUAAAUCAAAUCUGGAUUGCGUACUUCACUGAGUCUGCCCCCGGAACCGGAUCGGCCAGCCCCCGUGAACCUUCGUAGGGAGCGCCGUCCCUGUAGCGUUCCUAUUAGUGGAUAAUACAGAACCCACGACCACCUCACGU